rnacentral:tRNA from 1 species
GUGAGUUUAGUUUAAAAAAACAUAUAUUUUGCAAGUAUAAGAUUAAAGUUUAAUUCUUUAAUCUCACA